UAUCCGUAGGUGAACCUGCGGAAGGAUCAUUAUUGUAUAACCGAGGUGCGAGGGCUGUCGCUGACCCGAAAGGUCGUGCACGCCCGAGUGCCCUCACACACAUCCACCUCACCCCUAUGUGCACCACCGCGUGGGUCCCCCUUUGGCUUGUUCGGAGGGGGGCUUACGUUUUCACACAAACUUUGUAUGCAGUGUAGAAUGUAUUUUUUGUUUUUGCGAUCACGCAAUCAAUACAACUUUCAACAACGGAUCUCUUGGCUCUC
rnacentral:misc_RNA from 1 species